AGCAAUAUCAGCAGUUCCCCGGAGGCACCUUCGCCUCUGUCUCUUUGGCCAGCACCUGAUUUCCUCUAGUUGAAGAGCUUCACACGCAUAACCAGGUGACUAUUCUGAUGUUUCAUUCACAGUUUCUUUUAUGUCUUUUAGAGAAGUUCUGGUUAAUUCCAACAACCCAUGAAACGUCAAGCAUUACCACAUUACAACCAUUUACUAAGCACCUGCUGUGUACAAGGCAGACACUGAGGGCUGAAAUAUAUCCUUGCUUAUAAGCUUCAGUGACUGGCUAGAGUUCCUUUUUAGUACUGAGUUCUUAGGGAAAGGAAACUAGAGGACACAAGAAAUGUGCUGCUGACCAAUCUCAGGGCUUCUUUCUUUUGGUGGGUAACCACAAGAUUCCUUACCAGCAGUAUGACUGUUUUUUCCCCAGUAUUUGUAGGAGGCCACCAGAGAGACAGGAUUGCAAGGUUUUAAAUAUGCUAGUGUCAUGAGGUCAUGGAUUUCCUACCUGAAACAGAUAGUGUGACUGCCCUGCUAUAGCCAUGUUUGGCCAGUGUAGGAAUUUUGAGAACAGUGAACACUUAAUACUCAGAUGGCAUUUUGCCACCCCGACAAGGACCAUACCUGCCAUUCCAUUGUAGUUCGCCUUGCCCAGAAGUUUUAAAAUUUUUCUUUCAGCCUGGGAUUUCAAGUGUACUACAGCAUCCUCUUCACCUAUACAAGCGUCUGUUGUUUUAAAAGGAAACUGAUAUAAUUUGAGCAAAUAAUUUGAAGAUGGGUAAAUAGAAGUUUGACUGAAGCUGAUGAAAAUGAAGGAAAAGAGGGAGAAGAAACCAGCUGCCUGGAAGACUGACCCUCUGAGAUGCUCUGGAGCCGUGCAGUUGUUCUCACUGGCAGAUCAGUCCUGUCCCUCCAAUAAAAGAGAGGGUGAUCUUGGUGUGAGAUGUUCUCUUUUGAAGUGUGAUCAAAGCUUUGAGCUCAGGGAUUGCUUAGCAAGGUGGAAUUCUUUCUUUCUCUUGAGAGUUUAAAUGACCUCUGUAAUUGAUAGGCAUCGUAGUCACAAAAUGAAGUUUUGAAGUGGAGAAGAUAAAAGGUCACUACCUUGGAAAAUAGUGAGAAUUUCUUUCCUUUGGUGUUGCCUUCAUUUCACACUUGAUAAUUCUGUAAGGUUCUGAUUGUCACCCUGCAGCAGUUUCCAUAUGACUCAGAAAAAGCCCCCAGGCUCUUGCUACCCAGCUUGAGA
rnacentral:lncRNA from 1 species